GAAAUACUCCCUUUGUCCGGAAAUACUUGUCAUCAAAAUGGAUAAAAGGGGAUGUAUUUAGACAUAUUUUAGUUCUAGAUACAUCUCUUUUUAUUCAUUUUGAUGACAAGUAUUUUCAGACGGAGGGAGUACUAA
rfam:Triticum urartu cultivar G1812 contig38226, whole genome shotgun sequence.